UGGCGGCGUGCCUAACACAUGCAAGUCGAACGUCUUCUCUCGGUUCGCUGAGAGAGGGAGUGGCGGACGGGUGAGUAACACGUGGGUGAUCUACCAUCGGGUGAGGAAUACCGGCGAGAAAUCGCCGACAAGACCGCAUAGGCUUGCUUUUGCGAGCAAGCAAAGUCGCAAGACGCCUGAUGAUGAGCCUGCGCCCGAUUAGCUGGUUGGUGAGGUAAGAGCUCUCCAAGGCGACCAUCGGUAGCUGGUCUGAGAGGAUGAGCAGCCACACUGGGAUUGAGAACGGCCCAGACUCCUACGGGGGGCAGCAGUGAGGAAUUUUCCGCAAUGGAGGCAACUCUGACGGAGCAACGCCGCGUGCUGGAUGACGGUCUUCGGAUUGUAAACAGCUUUUCUUGGGGACGAGUAUCGGACGGUACCCGAGGAAGAAGCCCCGGCUAACUACGUGCCAGCAGCCGCGGUAAUACGUAGGGGGCAAGCGUUGUCCGGAGUUACUGGGCGUAAAGCGCUCGCAGGCGGUGCGCUACGUCCCUUCUGCCAGCUCGUCGCUUCACGACGGGAAUGCGAGGGAA
rnacentral:rRNA from 1 species